UCUCUUAGGUCCACUGAAUUUUUAAGGCCUGGUCUACACUAGGAGCUCAGGUCAAAUUUAGCAGCAUUAAGUCGAUUUAAUCCUGCACCCAUCCAUACGACGAAGCCCUUUUUUUUUACUUAAAGGGCUCUUAAAAUUGAUUUCCUUACUCCACCCCCGACAAGGGGAUUAGUGCUGAAAUCGCCUUGCCGGGUCAAAUUUGGGGUAGUGUGGAAGCAAUUAGACGGUAUUG